ensembl:lncRNA
AUAAUUUCUUAUUUGUUUUUCGCUGUGAAAUCUCCUAAGAGUCAGCAUUACAGGUCUACCCACUUUCACAGGAUCAAGUCCAACCACAGCAAACAUAAUUAUUCAGUGGCGUCGGUUUACCUGCUUCCACGUCAUCCAGCCGGCCUUCUUAAAAUCCGUUACCAAUUAAUCGUAUCGAAAGGUCAGUGAUUCCACAUUAAUGAAUGAUUUAUGACGUCUGUAAAAUUUCUAACCUUUGGGUUAGUUGAUUAAAAGUACGCUAAUUGACUUUAUUCGAUCGGUUAUUUAGCGGUUUAUUUUCCUCCCAAAUAGACCGGGCAACGAUUGAUGGCGAAGACGGAGACGACCGUAAUGAGGAGGGAAAGAAUGAAAUCCUUUUAGAGGGAAUUAUUACAGAUCGGUUG